UCAUCUGUGCUCUUCCACUCUAAAAUCUUUUCAUUCUCAUGCUUAAUAUCCAAUACGAGGGUUGGCUUUUCAACAAUACCAACUUGUUCAGCUACAUAUACGGCGGUCAGAGGAUUGUCACCAGUUAUCAUCAUGCAACGAUGCGAAGAAUUGUUUAGCAUUUGCACAGUUUGCCUAGCAUCCUCUUUAAGAGGAGAAGUAAAAAUAAGGAAUCCCGCAAAUACAAGGUCAGACUCAAUAGAUUCACGGCUCAAAUC